AUAACGAACAAUAUGUUCUUCCGUAUGGACCUGCUAAUAAAAAAUUAUAGCUCAAAAUUAGUAUAAUUAUGAUUAAUCAUAAACAUCAUUUAAAUACAAAGCUUAUAUAUAUAUAUAAAAAAUGCAUAUAACAUCUUCGAAAAUAAGAAAAUAGAACAACGAAAAAGUUGAAGAUUAUCUCCUCGUAAGCACAAAAAAGACGGGCACCUGCUGUAAAAUAAGAAAAGAAGAUUAUCUCCUUGUAGGCACAAAAAAUGAUAGCAUCAAAAUACA
rnacentral:lncRNA from 1 species